UCCCUCUUAGCUCAGUUGGUAGAGCGCGUCACUAGUACAUUUGUCACGAAAUGACGAGGUCAGUCGUUCAAAUCGGCUAGCGGGAA